UACGUAGGGUGCAAGCGUUAAUCGGAAUUACUGGGCGUAAAGCGUGCGCAGGCGGUGAUGUAAGACAGAUGUGAAAUCCCCGGGCUCAACCUGGGAACUGCAUUUGUGACUGCAUCGCUGGAGUGCGGCAGAGGGGGAUGGAAUUCCGCGUGUAGCAGUGAAAUGCGUAGAUGUGCGGAGGAACACCGAUGGCGAAGGCAAUCCCCUGGGCCUGCACUGACGCUCAUGCACGAAAGCGUGGGGAGCGAAACAGG
rnacentral:rRNA from 1 species